rnacentral:rRNA from 1 species
GAAACAUUUGAAGUGACUUAGUGGCGGACGGGUGAGUAACGCGUGGGUAACCUGCCCUGUACUGGGGGACAACAGUUGGAAACGGCUGCUAAUACCGCAUAAGCGCACAGCAUCGCAUGGUGCAGUGUGAAAAACUCCGGUGGUACAGGAUGGACCCGCGUCUGAUUAGCUAGUUGGUGGGGUAACGGCCUACCAAGGCGACGAUCAGUAGCCGGCCUGAGAGGGUGAACGGCCACAUUGGGACUGAGACACGGCCCAGACUCCUACGGGAGGCAGCAGUGGGGAAUAUUGCACAAUGGGCGCAAGCCUGAUGCAGCGACGCCGCGUGAGUGAUGAAGUAUUUCGGUAUGUAAAGCUCUAUCAGCAGGGAAGAAAAUGACGGUACCUGACUAAGAAGCACCGGCUAAAUACGUGCCAGCAGCCGCGGUAAUACGU